UGGAAUAUAUACCUGGGUAUAUCAUGUGAAAGCAGCAUACCUAGAAUAUAUACCUGGGUAUAUCAUGUGAAAGCAGCAUACCUGGAAUAUAUACCUGGAUAUAUCAAUGAAAUCUGUGAAAAGAUACUUUGGAAGCAUAGAACAUUAACCAAGCAGCAUAAUAGCAGACUAGAUUGAACAGAGUCUGUCCAUGAGGAAUACUGAAAUACAGACUUGACAGAAGAAGAUAUUACAUGUAGUUGUUUCUCAGACUCUAUUCAACAUAUUACCUGCCCUUGUAUUCUCAUUGUAGAGAUACUUAAGUGAUUUUAUUACUGUCAUAGAACCUUUGAUUUAUUGAAGGUAUCUAACUAGUUACAGAUUUGCAACCCUUAAGUAUAAAAUGCCAUACAGGGUGCUUAUUAUUUAUCUUUUACACAGUUUUACUCUGACUGAAUGCCUGGCAGUUUGUCUGAAUGGUGCAAAAACUAUCUAAAUGUGCGUCUAGAAUGCCUUUGGCUUCAUUAAACAUUGUGAAAAAUGCCUGUUUUUUUUUGUAGUGAAAUUUGUGCAGAAUAGCUACAGACCAUGAAGUUCAGAUGUAAAGAGAUGCAGGUCUUUGUUCUACAUGGUGUAUGAGUGAAACAUGUGUAUGGCAGUCAUAGAAAACAUUUAAAAAUAUGAAGGUAUGCUCCACUUUUCACUGAAUGGGGUUAUUUACUUGGAUAGGGAGAUGUGCCCAGUCUGUUAUGUGUUCUUGUUAUACCAGGUAGCAUGGGCUUUAGUGGAACUUUUUCCAUAGAAGAAAUCUGUGAGAUAGAUCUUGCUGCAGCAUGGCAUUGACAAACCAAGAAGCUCAGAUUGUUGUGUGCACACUAGUUUGAUUUGUUUAUGACUUUGAAUGGAUUUCAUAGAAACAGGCUGCUGACUGGAAGUGUCUUGUUGUACAUGUUGAGCAAGUUAGCUGACUGAUUGAAAGGAUUAUAAAAAGGCUGUUACAUUACUGGUAUUGAAAGUUUACCAAAGACUAAAUCAAUUGGCAAUCUUAUUUCAGAACCAAAUACCAUUGUUGUAGGGGUCACACCAGUAGACUUGUGCACAGAUGAACAAUAAGCCAUCAAGCAGAAAGCCGGGGUGAAAGAAAUAGACGAGUGAGGUAAACCUGUGGGAAAAACAACAUCAAAGGUACAGACAGCAACAGUUUGGUUGAUUGAGUAUGCAAAUAAUAUGCGAACAAACUUCCCAAUUCAACCAAACUACAUUUACCAUCUUGCCUAACAAAAGACUCCAUAUACAACAACAUGACAGAGGAAUUAAGAGGAUAAAGAAGAGGAGAUAGUGUCUAAGAGCCACUUCUACUAUAUAUGGCAAACUUGCCUAAGUCAUAUUGCUAUUCCACCAACUUCCAGGUUCUCUAAAUGUAACACAUGCAGCAAGAUAAAAACUCAACUGGGUGACACAAAAGAUAAGACCAAGCAUAAACAGCUGAUCAGCCUCAGACAGAAACAUCUUGUGAAACAGAGCAUUGAGAGGAGAAAAUACUACAAGCAUUCCAUGAAAGGGCGGACAGAACCAGACAAAUACCUGUCAGUAAUUUUGGAUGGGAUGGAUAAAAAAACAACUGAAUUACCACAUUAUCUAUACCUAAGUUCUUUUGUGUCCAAUCUAUGGAAACUGAAAACACAUUUGGUUGGUGUAAUAGUGCAUGGAAUUGGCAACUACGGAUUUUUUUAUUAUUAUCAGUAUCCCCAUGGAAGCAACUUGACGAUUCACUGCCUUCUAUCCACUUUGUACAUGGAGAAAGACACCUUACCAGAUACCCUAUACCUUCAAAUGGAUAACUGUGCUAGAGAAAAUGAAACAAAUUCUCAGUGAGGUUGAGGCGAACAGCAGCUAUGACCUUGACCAAACUUAUGAGCAUCUUUGAGAAAUGCACACCAAGACCAAUAAGUGUGGAAUGCGACAAUGUAUAUAAUGUUACAGAAUGGUUGCAGGAAUUUUUGAAUCCGAUCAGCAGACCGUCCAGACCACAUGUGUUCAGAGUAACCAAAGGUGAAACUGGAAAAGCAGAAAUUGCUUGGAAAAAUUGGACAACUGACAAAGUAAGACUGAAGAAGGAUAGAUGUAGAAGUCCUGAAAAGAGACAUGCAAAAGGCUUCACCAUUUUUCGGAAAACCAGAAGAACGACAAUGGUGGACCAGCUUCUUUGAAAAAAUCGAAAACAAUGAUACAGAGUUAGGAAUCAAUGAUAGAUCAGGAAAGUGGAUGCUAGAUGAAAUAAUAACAGCAAAGCAAAGAUCAAGGAUAAACAGAGAGCUUGGAGUAAUCGACAGAUCCCACAUUAAGAUACUGGCUCCAUCAGAGGAGGAGGAUAUAUUCGUUAACCGGAAGGGCUAUCACAGCAUAAAUGUGCAAGUGGUGUUUGAUGCCUUUGACAGGAUCGAGGAUAUUGUUGCACGUUGGCCUGGUUCUACACAUGACAGCAGGAAACUGCACAACAGUGGGCUGAGACAGCUUUUUGAAAGAGGCAUUGUCCAUGGUGGUUAUCAUCUGUUGGGGGACAGAAGCUACCCGUGCCGUAGAUGGCUGCUGACCCUCUACCUCAACCCUCAACCUGGGGCACUGAGUGCUUACAACAGGUUCAGCUCAUUAUUGGAAAAAAGACCUAGAAAGUGAAUGAUGUUUGUCAAUUGAAAGAUGGGGAUAUGGAUCUAACUGACGUCCCUAAAUAUGCUGGAGAGUGGCCUCAAGUAGGACAAGUGGUCUCAGUCUUAGGGGAUACAUUAAGGCUCAGAUGGUACAAAGGGUGUACAGCUUGAAUAUGGACUCCUUGUUCAAUACCAGAAAAGUGGAAAAAAGGCAAAAAAAUAGCGUUUUUUGAAGAUAUUCCAUCGAAUUGCAUUUGGCUAUGGGGUUUCAAAUUGACAGAGAAGGGUUAUUUGAAAAAAGCAGACUAUUUAAGAGUCCAUUGAUGCCUACAAAGAUUUUUAAGUAGAAGAGUUCAGAUGCAAAGGACUGUAUUCAUAAGUGUGCAGCUUAGUGAAUGACAAACCAUGAUUGUAUUCAAAAUCCAUUCACAUUUUGAUUCUGAUAUGUUAUUUAGAGGAUAUCAUACAUGGCUGUUGGGCAUCAAGGCCAUACUGGCAUACUAGGAGAGAUAUUUGUCUGAGGGUUUUAGCACUAGAGCAGUUUGCCAAUAUUGCCUUAAGUCACAACAGCCCUGUAUGAUAACCUUUAAUUUUAUAUGUCCAACUGCUGAGGUGAAAACGAGAUUAAAAUAGUUUAAUAAUGCAUAGCGUUAUUGAAUGUUCAUGUAAUGAGCAAGAACGUCAGUGUAGGGAUAACAAAUGAUUUUUCAUGUUAUAACAUCUG